GCACUUUUUACAAGUAUACUGUUGGUGUAUUUAAUCAAAAUUGGUGGUAACAGCAUAGACAUGAAAAAAAGUACACUAUAUUUUUUUCACUAAAUGUCUUGAAAUUUCUUUUCUCUACACUGUCGUUCAAGAAACGAGGCGUUUUAAAUGUAAAGAGAUUACUUUGCACUUUUGAGAUCAACACUGACUGAUUCAAUAUUCAUAGGGAGAAUAAUUUAAUGGCUGAUGUAAGUAGCGGUAACAGGAAAGACAUGAACCCCCUGUACGCAGAUUCAAUUUAGUUUGUAGAUAAUAUGUUACAUACAAUGAUAUAGAAGCUACGAUUUUUUGUUAGAGUAAUAUUUAACGUUCUUAAAAAGUCCCUUUUGCAGAUAUCAAGG
rnacentral:lncRNA from 1 species